rnacentral:rRNA from 1 species
CUCGUAGGCGGUUCGUCGCGUCCGAUGUGAAAGUCCAUCGCUUAACGGUGGAUCUGCGCCGGGUACGGGCGGGCUGGAGUGCGGUAGGGGAGACUGGAAUUCCCGGUGUAGCGGUGGAAUGUGUAGAUAUCGGGAAGAACACCAAUGGCGAAGGCAGGUCUCUGGGCCGUUACUGACGCUGAGGAGCGAAAGCGUGGGGAGCGAACA